UUGUAUUGGACCAAUCCUGUGUUGGGGGAUGGACUAUGUCUAUGGUCCCUCCUUAGCAUGGGAUUGGUCCAUAUCAAGACCAAUCCUAUGAAAGGAAAAUGGGCAUCAUCUCUUGCCCAGCAGAGGAUUGGUCAAAUUCAAGACCAAUUCUUCACGGGAAAUAAGAAGGAGGGAACCCUGGAGCAUGCUGGGAGAUAUAGUCCCGUAGGCCACAACCACUGAACACCCACCGGAUCUCUCUAUGUAGACGGAGACAUGGACAGCUAGACAGACAGAAGAAGUGACACACAGAUUAUUUGAUAUGUUAUUCUGUCUAUUCUCCUACUGGUUGGUGUCCACUCUAGAAAAUCAGGAUAAGUGGUUGCAGGCAAGCAAAGCAGGUGAUGGUGUCCCAGUUGGGUUCAGAUGGCUCAGAAGAUGUAUUUGGUUCAAGAUUGGAGGGGGAGUGGCAGACCUCCACUUUGGCCAGUGAGGCUCCAUCAUUUCUUUCCUAACGUCUUCUGAUUCGACUUUGAGACAACCCAGCACUCUGGAAUCUUUGCUGCGACUUCUCCAAUGGACAGAUGUUCCGUUCCAUCCUCCUAACGAGGUAAAGUGCUCCUAUUUUCAACUUUCCUCCUUCAACUCAGAAUGGAGACUAAGUCUGUCCUUUCUAGGUUCUCUACUUAAUGGGCCUUGGCUCCAGGUAAAUAGAAUUCUCAGGAGAAAUAAAUGGCCAAUUUUCCCAUUCUAUAGAAUUAUUUCUCAAGUCAAUGAAAAGGAUAGGAAACAAUCCUUCUCCAGAUUCAGUACGUUGGGGACUCCUCUGAAUAUCUCUUAAAGAUGUCACCUUCAGUAAUACUUCAGAUUCUGGGCUGCAGUAAAUUCUGGUCUAGGCUUUUGGCUCCUAUGAAACCUCUUCAGGCAAAUCUUCCCUGUCAUAGGUUUUUAUCUCUUCACCCCCAUACCAGAACUGGGGGAGGGAGGGGUAAAAUCCCAGGGCAUUCAUAGAAAUGUCUUAGGAAUUUCCCAGGUCUCUUUCUCAAGCUGUCCUGUGCCAAAGAUCAUUAGAAAUAAUGCACACAAAACCAUCAGUUUUCUCCACUUCGAAAGGAAAAUUAGUUCUCCUUAUUCCCUGGUCUUUUCAAACAAAAACUUAUCUGUUGAAAUGGUUGCACUCUGGAAAUUGACCUUCAAAAUGCCCCAAAUCAGGUUAUUGUAGAUGAUGCUUUUCCUUUUUCAAAAACUCAAACUGGUUACAUUUUCUCUCCAAAAACAAAACUUAGGGUUACUAAGGAAGAGGUUCAAAAUUUCCUCUAACUAGGAACACCUCUACUAUUCCCUUCCCUUUUUUCAUUUUUUACUCUAAUUUCCUUAGGGCUGCCAAUUUGUCUUUCUCUUCUCCUUGCCUCAAAGCACUUUGGCCUAUGGCUAAAGCUGCUCUUAGAGAGGAAAUUUGUGGUUCAUAUAAAAAAUGUUCAGGGUUUCCUCAUGAUUAAAAGCAAAGCAUUCCCCACCGUAUUUCAUGUCCUUUGACAACAAUUUAAAGACCAGUCAGGUCUGUAGUUGCCCAUCCUCAAAUGAACAUUCUUUACUCCAGAAAUCACACACACACACACACACACACACACACACACACACACACACACACACACACACACACACACAGUAAACUGAAAAAAAAAUCCACUCCUGCUCUUUACAAAUACCAGCUUGACAAAAAUGUGAAAUGACUGCACUCAAAUAACCAAGUUAAUACCUCAAAGGAAAUGCAUCUUAUUGGCAAUAAUCAAAAUUUACUAUACUUGAUAUACACAAUUUCACACAUUUUUCCUAGCAAA
rnacentral:lncRNA from 1 species